rnacentral:rRNA from 1 species
GAUGAACGCUAGCGGUAGGCCUAACACAUGCAAGUCGAGGGGGAGGUUACUUUCGGGUAACUGAGACCGGCGUACGGGUGCGUAACGCGUAUACAAUCUGCCUUUCACUGGGGGAUAGCCCGAAGAAAUUUGGAUUAAUACCCCAUAGUAUAGUAAUACGGCAUCGUGAUGCUAUUAAAGCUUAGGUGGUGAAAGAUGAGUAUGCGUUCUAUUAGCUAGUUGGAGAGGUAACGGCUCCCCAAGGCGAUGAUAGAUAGGGGUUCUGAGAGGGAUGUCCCCCACACUGGUACUGAGAUACGGACCAGACUCCUACGGGAGGCAGCAGUGAGGAAUAUUGGACAAUGGUCGGAAGACUGAUCCAGCCAUGCCGCGUGCAGGAUGAAGGUCUUAUGGAUUGUAAACUGCUUUUGUAAGGGAAGAAUAAGGGCUACGCGUAGUUUGAUGACGGUACCUUACGAAUAAGCAUCGGCUAACUCCGUG